AACGAACGCUGGCGGCAGGCUUAACACAUGCAAGUCGAACGUCCGCAAGGGCGUGGCAGACGGGUGAGUAACGCGUGGGAAUAUCCCCCUCAGUACGGAAUAACCCAGGGAAACUUGGAACAAUACCGUAUACGUCCGUGAGGAGAAAGAUUUAUCGCUGAGGGAUUAGCCCGCGUCUGAUUAGCUAGUUGGUGAGGUAAUGGCUCACCAAGGCGACGAUCAGUAGCUGGUCUGAGAGGAUGAUCAGCCACACUGGGACUGAGACACGGCCCAGACUCCUACGGGAGGCAGCAGUGGGGAAUAUUGGACAAUGGGCGAAAGCCUGAUCCAGCCAUGCCGCGUGAGUGAUGAAGGCCUUAGGGUUGUAAAGCUCUUUUGUCCGGGAAGAUAAUGACGGUAUCGGAAGAAUAAGCCCCGGCUAACCUCGUGCCAGCCGCCGCCGUAAAAC
rnacentral:rRNA from 1 species